rnacentral:rRNA from 1 species
CCUACGGGUGGCUGCAGUGGGGGAUAUUGGACAAUGGGGGAAACCCUGAUCCAGCGACGCCGCGUGAGUGAAGAAGUAUUUCGGUAUGUUAAGCUCUAUCAGCAGGGAAGAAAGAAAUGACGGUACCUGAGUAAGAAGCCCCGGCUAACUACGUGCCAGCAGCCGCGGGAAUACGUAGGGGGCAAGCGUCAUCCGGAAUUACUGGGUGUAAAGGGAGCGUAGACGGUAAUGCAAGUCUGGAGUGAAAGGCGGGGGCCCAACCCCCGGACUGCUCUGGAAACUGUGUAACUGGAGUGCAGGAGGGGCAGGCGGAAUUCCUAGUGUAGCAGUGAAAUGCGUAGAUAUUAGGAGGAACACCAGUGGCGAAGGCGGGCUGCUGGACUGUAACUGACGUUGAGGCUCGAAGGCGAGGGGAGCGAACGGGAUUAGAUACCCCAGUAGUC